AUAUGUGAGGACAAUUUGGCUGUGACAUCUGUCACCCCACUGAUCACCAGGGUUGAUUCGGCUGAUCUGGCUGGCUAGGCCGGUGUCCCCUUCCUCCCUCACCAAUCCAUGUGUGUCCCUCCCGAAGCUGUGCACUUGGUUGAAGAGGACAGCCUUCCCCGAAUAGAGUCGGACCAGUCUUCAGUCGAGGGUAUAUGAGUAACUGUGCUCCCCUGCUAGAACCUCCAAACAAGCUCUCAAGAAGGAUAAAAUUCCAUACAAUUCCCACUACCAUAGGGCUGUAU
ensembl:misc_RNA 7SK 7SK RNA